CCUACGGGAGGCAGCAGUAGGGAAUCUUUCACAAUGGGCGAAAGCCUGAUGGAGCAACGCCGCGUGCAGGAUGAAGGCCUUCGGGUUGUAAACUGCUUUUAUAAGCGAGAAAUAUGAUGGUAACUAAUGAAUAAGGAUCGGCUAACUACGUGCCAGCAGCCGCGGUCAUACGUAGGAUCCGAGAAUUAUCCGGAGUGAAUGGGUGUAAAGAGUUGCGUAGGUGGCAUAGUAAGUAGCUAGUGAAAUUUGGUGGCUCAACCAUUCAGACUAUUAGCUAAACUGCUAAGCUCGAGACCGUUAGGGGUAACUGGAAUUUCUAGUGUAGGAGUGAAAUCCGUAGAUAUUAGAAGGAACACCGAUAGCGUAGGCAGGUUACUGGGACGGUUCUGACGCUAAGGCACGAAAGCGUAGGGAGCAAACGGGAUUAGAUACCCGAGUAGUC
rnacentral:rRNA from 1 species